rnacentral:rRNA from 1 species
UACGAAGGGGGCUAGCGUUGCUCGGAAUCACUGGGCGUAAAGGGUGCGUAGGCGGGUCUUUAAGUCAGGGGUGAAAUCCUGGAGCUCAACUCCAGAACUGCCUUUGAUACUGAGGAUCUUGAGUUCGGGAGAGGUGAGUGGAAUUGCGAGUGUAGAGGUGAAAUUCGUAGAUAUUCGCAAGAACACCAGUGGCGAAGGCGGCUCACUGGCCCGGAACUGACGCUGAGACGCGAAAGCGUGGGGAGCAAACAGG